rnacentral:lncRNA from 1 species
CGACAACCGCCCUUUUAAAGUUUUUAUGAAUAGAAAGGAAGAGAGGGUUGGAGAUCUCGAAUGUGGUGAUGUUGGAGAGACCAAUGGAUUGUGAAGAUGUUGCAUAUGAGCAUGGAGUAAGUGAAGUGGUUAUGAAAUAAAUUCCAUGCUCAUUAAUGCUUAGAGUGAAAUCCAUGUGGUAUGGUGAAAGUGAUAAGGUGAGUGUGGUAAAAAAGGAAAAGAAAAAGGAUACACGGACGACUUGGUUCGAA